CGAUUGACUUUGCCAGAGCAAUGACACCAUGCACCAAAACAGACAAAUACCCCGAGGAAUGUACAAACAGUGGUUGUGCUACCGUAGACGGGAGCCAUUGCAAGUGGCCAAAUGUGUGAGCUGUAAGAAAACUGCGGUACAGAAUCUCGCAAUUGGACCUGUUCAAAAAGAAACGAAAGAUGCAUCAAAAUCCGCUGCCAGAGGCAGAUUUGAGACCUCGCCAAAAGAGCUCGUGAGACAUUUUUACAUAUAUUGGCAUGAAAAACGAACAAAAGUGAGACUGAUUGUGAGACAUAUGAAACAGCUGAGACACUGGCGGAGAGGUAUCUUUAUCCGGCUUUUAACUGGCGGAGAGAUAUCAAAUCGGCAAGAUCAAACGAACAAGUGAACUACAGGUACGGAGUGAACGAUUGAAACGAAUGGGGAAAACCGAAAGGGCAAAGGGGCUAUCAUUCCCUCGCGGCUCAUUUUAGUCCUCAUCUACUUGUAACUACUCGCUAAACAUUAUAGCCGAGGGGUUCCUCACAUACAAGUGUGCUGUACAUACUGAUCGGUACUUAUGUCAUUGAGUCAAGUGGCAGCUUGGCUGUCAUGAAGAUGUAUCGUACACUGUUCCAGAGCCUAACAAUUGAUAUAUAUCGGCUUGGAUCAGAAUAUUACGACUUCGUGUCCUCGAGUCGUGAGCUCCAUCCCAACAGUAAUCUCUCCCGUAGCUGUCAGUGAAGAAUAAUUACUCAUAGAGGAUCAACCGACAUGUCCACACCAUCAUGACUAUCAAUGACUAUCAAUGAAGCUGAUAACC
rnacentral:misc_RNA from 1 species